UACGUAGGGUGCGAGCGUUGUCCGGAAUUAUUGGGCGUAAAGAGCUUGUAGGCGGUUUGUCGCGUCUGCUGUGAAAUCUCAAGGCUCAACCUUGAGCUUGCAGUGGGUACGGGCAGACUAGAGUGUGGUAGGGGAGACUGGAAUUCCUGGUGUAGCGGUGAAAUGCGCAGAUAUCAGGAGGAACACCGAUGGCGAAGGCGGCACUCUGGGACGGUACUGACGCUGAGACGCGAAAGCGUGGGGAGCGAACAGG
rnacentral:rRNA from 1 species